rnacentral:rRNA from 1 species
UACGUAGGGGGCUAGCGUUGUCCGGAAUCAUUGGGCGUAAAGAGCGUGUAGGCGGUCCGGUAAGUCCGCUGUGAAAGUCGGGGGCUCAACCCUCGAACGCCGGUGGAUACUGUCGGGCUAGAGUGCGGAAGAGGCGAGUGGAAUUCCUGGUGUAGCGGUGAAAUGCGCAGAUAUCAGGAGGAACACCGAUGGCGAAGGCAGGUCUCUGGGCCACUACUGACGCUGAGAAGCGGAAAGCAUGGGGGAGCGAACAGG